rnacentral:rRNA from 1 species
GACGAACGCUGGCGGCGUGCUUAACACAUGCAAGUCGAACGGAAAGGCCCUGCUUUUGUGGGGUGCUCGAGUGGCGAACGGGUGAGUAACACGUGAGUAACCUGCCCUUGACUUUGGGAUAACUUCAGGAAACUGGGGCUAAUACCGGAUAGGAGCUCCUGCUGCAUGGGGGGGGUUGGAAAGUUUCGGCGGUUGGGGAUGGACUCGCGGCUUAUCAGCUUGUUGGUGGGGUAGUGGCUUACCAAGGCUUUGACGGGUAGCCGGCCUGAGAGGGUGACCGGCCACCUUGGGCCUGAGAUACGCAGCAGACUCCUACGGGAGGCAGCAGUCGGGAGUAUUGCACAAUGGGCGGAAGCCUGAUGCAGCGACGCCGCGUGCGGGAUGCCGGCCUUCGAGUUGUAAACCGCUUUCGCCUGUGACGAAGCGUGCGUGACGGUAAUGGGUAAAGAAGCACCGGCUAACUACGUG